GCGCCCAUAGCUCAGCUGGACAGAGCAACGGACUACGAAUCCGUGUGUCGGGAGUUCGAAUCUCUCUGGGCGCG
rfam:Desulfobacca sp. 4484_104 ex4484_104_scaffold_13607, whole genome shotgun sequence.